GUCUCAGUGGCGUAGUGGUUAACGCACGGUCUCGGUUAGGCGCGAGGCGUGGGUUCGAACCCUGCCUGAGUUG
rnacentral:tRNA from 1 species